CACUUUGGGAGGCUGAGGUGGGCAGAUCACUUGAGACCAGGAGCUCAAGACCAGUCUGGCCAACAUGUUUUGGGAUUUUGCCAUUAGAAACCCCAAGUCCUGGAGAUGGAUCCUAUUUACAAAACUACACUAAUACACCUCCUGUAAUUGAUGUGCCAUCCACCGGAGCCCCUUCAAAAAAGUCUGUUGCCAGAAUCGGCCAAACUGGAACAAAGUCUGUCUUCUCACAGAGUGGAAAUAGCCGAGAGGUAACUCCAAUUCUUGCACAAACACAAAGUUCUGGUCCACAAACAAGUACAACACCUCAGGUAUUGAGCCCCACUAUUACAUCUCCCCCAAACGCACUGCCUCGAAGAAGUUCACGACUCUUUACUAGUGACAGCUCCACAACCAAGG
rnacentral:lncRNA from 10 species